AAAGGACAAAUAAAAUACUUCCGUUACUUUGAAAAUGACCUCAGGCUCAAAUUCAUACAUAUCAUUAGAUAAGCUUAUCAGAACUGAAUUCCCUGACUAACCAUUUACAUCAUCUCCACACUUCUGCUUCUGUUCUUUCAAUACGGAAUGUUUACGUUGCAUACUGUUGACGCUUUUCAAAUAAGCUAGCAUGUGAAAAGUAGUAGCACCAGUGCAGUAAAAAAGGCCAGCUAGUUACUGAACUGGCCGUGCAUGUACAAAGUACAUAAGCACUGAAUGUUCAACGCCACAUACGCCCCAAACAUUUUCUCUUCUUCUGCCUCUAGUGCGCCCUGAUCGAUCGCUUUAUCAAGAUAGAUACUGCCACAACCUCAUCCACCUCACAAAGUAAAACCUGUCAUCACCGGCAAGACAGCUAAGCAAAGUAAUUCGUUAGUUCUUGAACCAAGAUCCUAAGCUUGGAGAGCCCUUCAAACUGAACCAAAACAAUUGAACCUUCGCCAACAAAUUUUCCAUACAUACAUGCAUACCUAGCUAAUGCACCUGCACUAACAGAAGAACAUAAGAAAACAUCAAUGAAUAACUAUUCAGAAGUCAACAGCUGAGAACCCAGGGAUCUAAAUAAGACGUGUGCACAGAUCCCAUUUUUAUGUCUAGGUAGGCAAUUAUACAAGAAACAAAAUGAGAUGGGUAUGGCUAAAAGCAUAAGAGCAUAGUGCAGAUUCCUCUAACAAAAUACAAAUGCCUAACAAAUUUUCCAUACAUACAUGCAUACCUAGCUAAUGCACCUGCGCUAACAGAAGAACAUAAGAAAACAUCAAUGAAUAACUAUUCAGAAGUCAACAUGGCUGAGAACCCAGAGAUCUAAAUAAGAAGUGUGCACAGAUCCCAUUUUUAUGCCUAGAUAGGCAAUUAUACAAGAAACAAAAUGAGAUGGGUAUGGCUAAAGCAUAAGAGCAUAGUAUAGAUUCCUCUAAGAAAAUACAGAUGCCUAGGUAAGCAAUUCUGAUGCUCUGAUGCGGAGCAUCGGGGACAUCAUCAUGUCAAGAGUUCCUUCGGCGGGUGACUCGUGCGACAUCUACUUCACAUACACAAAGGUGAAUCAUCUCCUAUACACGUGCUCAUUUGACCCCUUCGAGGAUGGUAUACUACUUGACACUCCACUCGUGUGCAUGCAUAGGUAUUGUCGAAACACUACGGACGACGACGAGGAGUGCAAGCGCCAAGGAACAAUUACACCAUCCGCGAGGGAAGCCUGGAAGCGACGACGGAAGAAGACGGAGCUGCUGAAGCUAUAGCGGCCGGACAUCCGGGCCAGAGGCCGGACAUCCGGCGCCAACCCCGGACAUCCGGCGCCUCCCGACAGCCCGGACAUCCGGCAUCUCCCGCGGAAAUCCGGCACCGACGUAUCCAGAGAGCAGCUGAACCUCCACUUCAGCCCGGACAUCCGGCCGCGACCCCGGACAUCCGGCUCGUCCCGAAGCCCCGGACAUCCGGCCCCCAGCCCGGACGUCCGGCACCUGCGUGUGCCUAACCGGGCCAAAGGCCCAUGUAUCCCCUCCUCACUUACUCCUUCGUGGCUCUAGACUAUAUAUACUCCUCCACCUCCUUCUAGUUAGACUAUAUAUAUACUCCUCCACCUUCUUCUAGUUAGGGUUAGUGUUGUGAUAGCUCGUUUGAGAGAUAGAGCUUCGCUCAUCCAUAUCGGAUCUACUCCACGAGAGAGACCGCGGCCCCUCUACGGAGAAGAUCUACCUUGGAUUCAAGACCCCUCACGGGAAGAUCCCCUUGUGGAUUCAAGACCUCCUCACGGAGAAGAACCGGUUACCUCUUGUAUCGUCCGUUGUUGACUUUGGAUCUUGUAUCUCUCUUUGUGUUUCGAGAAUCUAGCACAUGUGUGAUCAUACUUGUUGGUUUGAGUGUUCUCUUGUGUUCCCCUCGUGAUUUUCCCCUCGUUUUCCUCCUCGUGUUCUUCGCGUUCUUCGCGGGAUCCGCUCCUUUCGUGAAAGAUCGGGCCACUAGGGUUCUACCCUACAUCAUCUUGGAUCAGAGCCAGCUUGUCUCUUGAUACCAUCAUCUUGGUAUCAUGAGCCACGUUGAUCAUGAUUUCGGAGCCUUCCCAUUGUGUUUUCUAGCCUAAUUUUGUUGUGUUCUUUCCCAAUUUUGAAAAUUUCCCACAAAAAUAGCCCCAAAUUUUUUUGUGAUUUGUUGGUAUGAUGAUAUUUUGUUGAUUUUGAUCCAUGGAUUCGUUGUGUCUUGAGUAGAUCUAUCUUUCCCCCAAGUUUCACCACUUUCCAUCCAUCAAUUUUUGCCGUUGAAAUCAUCAAUUUCCGCCCCCAAUUCGAAAAUUUCCGCCCUAAACGAGAUCUCGAAUCGUCGGGCCGGACAUCCGGGCCAAAGGCCGGACAUCCGGCACCUGGAAUGCAAAAUCCGCACGGUUCUGGACAUGCACCCCCGGAAAUCCGGCCCGAGCCCCGGAUGUCCGGCCCCUAUACAUUUCAGCUUUCCCGUUUCACCGUUUUGUCCAUAACUAAUUCAUCCGGAGUCCGAUUUUCGCGUUCUUUAGCUCGUUGAAAAGCUCUUGACAUCCCUCUUCCAACAAAAAUACUACCAUCAUCAUUUGACUCCAUAAAAUUUUUGGAACUUUGGCAUCUUUGCCUAGGGCUUCCACCACAACCUCCGCAUAACCACCACCGACUUCCGCAACCUAACCAAUUUUGUUCCCCAUCGCAUUAGUGGUUGCUUGAGGAGUGAUUGAGUCUUCUAAGGUGUCUAGGCUACUUAGGGAUGGUUGCUUCUUCAUCAACCACCACCACUACCGCAUAGGCUUGACCACCAUACACUUCCACCAUCCCAACUUAACCCAAUUUUGUUUGUGUUGUGAGUUGUGUCUCCUAAGGUGUUUCAGCUACUUAGGGACCUUGCUUCCAACUCCGACACCGUGUAUAGUCCACCACCUGACCCUCGACUUCCGCAUUGCGUACUCACAACCCAUCAUUGCCAUUCCCCAAUUCCAUUGAACUUCCAUAAAACCACCACCGCUUUCCUGCUACCACCAUUUGACAUUUGAUGUUUGAGAUUUUGAGUUCGUGAUUUUUUUCGUUUCCUAAGGUGUUUCGGCUACUUAGGGACGAGUCUACAUCAUCUUGGUAUCUCCAUCAAGAUCACCGCCACUCAUCAUCGCCAAGGACGGUAACCUCCAUAUCAUCUUGGUAUCGUGGUAUCCCUCCAUUGUAUAUUCCCUUGCCAUUGCAUUGUUAACCCCUAGCCCAUUUUGCGUCACUUACCUAUCGAGACUAGCCUUUGAGUAUUGCCGGCAACGUUACUUGUGCACAUUAGUGAUCUACACCAUACAUUGCAUACAUACCAUAUCAUAUUGGUAUCAUAUCAUCCCUUGUGUCACAAGAUUGUUCCCGUAUAUACCCAAUUGCUAUCUUGGUUUGUGCAUUUCGCAUAGUGGCCAUACAAAAAAAAGAAAGGAGAAUAAGCUUUUAAGCAAAAGAGAAAGAGCAAAGAAGCUUGUAAGCAAGUGCCAUAGCAUCAUACCACAUUGCAUAUAAGAUUGUCAUAUCCGAUCAUCUUGGAUCAUACCACCGGAACAUCAUACAUAUAUAGCAUACUUGGGAUAGAAAGUCAAUACAUUUUGCAUCUUAUAGGUUGUGCACAAGUGUCGUAUCCGCCUAUAGAGCAAUCGUGCUAGAGUCUCUCUUGAGUUGUGCAACACGAGCGUUUUCCGUGGAUUCCAUAUUUUGUGCUCAUUCCUUGGUUGCACGACCCCAUUUAUCUAUCUGUGUGUGUGUUUCCGUGUGCCAUUCAUUGCUAUUGGUCUACUUGUUUCACUUGCGAAUUUGUGAAUCUCUUUCAACAUUAUUGACUCUUGCUAACAUUUUGCAUUAAAUUUUUGUGCCACUAUCCUCACCGAGCUCCACCAUAAGCCUUACUUGUGUAGGUGUGAGAAACCGAUAAGAAUUGGUACCAAUUGUGUUAUUUCCUUGUCCACAUUGGAGUGAUCAUUGAUCCACUUUCAACUUCGGUCAAGGUACAUUUGGUAUUCGUUCUUCUCUUUCUACCACUCACACUUUUCUCUUGGAGUGAUGGAUAGGCAAGGUAUUUCAUCUUCGGUCUACAACAACAACGACGAGUUCGAUGCCACACAAAACUCCACCGACGCCAAGAUGCAAGCUCAAAUGGAGGAGAUCAAAGCCCUCAUCAAGUCCUACAAUCGGUCUUCCUCAUCUUCGAGAAGACGCUCAAGAGCACAUGCCUCCGAGCUACCAUCUCCGGCAAGGUCACAUCGGCAUCGACACCAUCACCACCAUGAACGUGAAGGUCAAGAGCUCAACACCAACAACCGCUCAACGACUUCACCAUCGCCCUUGGCAUCUUCGCCAAGCGAAUUAAAGGCAUCUUCGCCUAUGGACAUACGGCAUCUUCGCCCACAAGCACUUCAAGAUAAGCUCCCCAAGCUCAAGUCCGUGACUUCCAUGAGCUACUACGACCUCGACAUCGACCAUGAGAUUCCUUUCUAUGGGACUCUAGAACCCGAGGAGUAUCUCGAGUGGGAGCAUUUGAUGGACGACUACCUCAAGCUACAUCAAGUUCCUCCCGAAGAUCAAGUGAAGUGCGCCACAAGGAACUUCCACGACUACGCGUCCACAUGGUGGCUUCACGCACCUUCGGAGACCUACGACAUGAGUUGUCCUAAGACGAAGAGAGCUUUGCGGCGAGAGUUUGUGCCUCCAACCUACACGGAACAACUUCAACGCCAAUUGAAGAACACCAUCCAAGGAUCCAAGUCCAUCGACGAGUACUUCAAGGAGAUGAAGAUUGCCUUGCGACGAGCCGGUGGACGACCCCAUUUCGAUGAAGUUCCACUUCAUGAUGGGAUUGCACAACGACAUCUCCAAGACGAUCUUCCUCGAGAACUACAAGUCCCUCGACGACAACUACAUUGGUGCUCUCAAGGCGGAACAAGAACUCAUGAAGGCCAAAGCUUAUCCACCCCAAGCUCACUUCGCGACGACCAAGCUCCAUGAGAACGAGCAUGGGGCUAGUACCACCACGAUGUCCAAGCCCGACGAGCUCCAAGACGAUGCUCUCAAGUUCCACUUCACCGUCAUCCCUCUUUAUGGCAUUGAUGAUGCCGAGUCCUCCAUGACUCUUUUUCAAGACAGUGCGGCGACGAUUACAACUACGGAAACCCUCAAGGACCAAGCUUUGAAGGCGAGCGACAAGGUGGCGAGCAAGGAUGAUGCUUCCAUCUUAGGAGGCGAGUGUGAUGUUGUGCCAUCUUCAGCCUUCAUCCAUGGCGACGACGAUGAUAUGGUUGAGCAUGGGAUUUUCCCUUCGACCACGGCGACAUGUGAUGAUUUGAGUGACUUUAGCCACCAUAUUGAGAGCGAGAGUGACUUCACCACUAGCCCCAUAUAUGAUGUGUUACCCCAAUUCCCAUGUGAGGAGAACCACAAUCCCCACCUCUUGAGUGAGAUGAGUGACUCCACCAUAUGUGAGUUUGAGUGCACCUAUUUUGAGGGAUUGAGUGAACUACCACAUAGAGAGAGUGAGAUAGUUGAUAGGUCAUGUGAGGCCACGUCCAACACUAACGACUUGACCUCUACCUUUAUUGUGUCUUCUCAUUUGGUGCUAUGUCCCUUAUAUGAUGACGCAUCGAUUCGCGACGACUUCGUCCUACCUUUGGACAAGACGAUGGUCAUGGUGGAAUGUGAUGCACCCCCCACAUGGUUCCAUCAAGAUGAAGAUGACCACCAUUUGGUCUUUCCCACCUCACCUACACCACAUGAGUGGAAUGACAAAGGUAACAUAGGUGAAGGUGAUGCUCUAGUCCCACUAGUGGACAUUCUUGACGUUGAUUGCUUGCAUGAUGUUGAUCAACCUAUUUCCAUGCUUCAUGCUAGUGUGACUACCCCAUGCGAUGAUUUACCCUUUUAUGAUGAGUAUGAUGAUUGCCAUGUGGAGUCUAUUAGUUGUGAUGCCAUAUUACAUAGGAUUUCUUGUGCCAAUUCUCUCGGUCACAUCAUGUUUGCCAAUCCGCUUGGCUUGUCAUAUGCUAUGCAUGAGAUCGACCACAUGUCAUAUUUGCAAUCUCUUCAUAGUGACUAUGCAUAUGCCAUUAAGAUUAACACAAUUUGCAAUUAUGGCAUAGAUGACAAGCCCAUGGUUAUUGGCAUUUGUUUUUCUUGUGAUGGUAUUGAUAUGCUCCCUUUGCAUCCUUUAUCGCAUAUGCCAUGCCAUGACCACCUAGCUUCGGAUAUGCAUUGUUUUGGAUGUUGUCCAUUUUCUCCAUAUGAUGUUUCGAAUAUUGCUCAUGAGGAGACCCCCAUAGUUUCCUCAUACAUUUUAGGAGAUUUUGAUCACUCCCAUCCAUUGCAUGAUCCUUAUACUUGUAUGCUCAAUUUGCAUCCCCAUCGUGUUAUACACAAUAACUAUUCUUUCAUGAUGGAUGACAUGUUCUUAUACCAUGCAUCAAAUUUCUUCGAGCAUUGCUUAUCUUGUGCUAACUCACAUGUGCACAUACACAUCAUGAUGGAUGAUGUGUACAUUUACCAUGCGCACAAUUUCUUUGAUUUGUGUCUCUUUUGUGUAGGUACCAAUGAAUACUUGUCAACCUCGCAAUCCCACGAGUUGACAAAACGAGCUCUAGAGAGCAAUGAUGACUUGGGAUCCCAUGGAUUGUCUUUCCCACCGCUCUCUUCACGCAUUUCUUCUACAUGGCCCUCACUUGGCUAUGGGUUAUUGUCCAUUAUAUAUUAUAUGCCCAUCUUGCCAUGUUCACUUUGCAUGAUAUGCUCAUUACUAUGCCUUUGCCAUGCAUUCGUGACCCAUGCUUUGCAUUACACAUGAUGAUUGAUUCUUAUACUUGUAUGUGUAUUUGCAAGCUUGGUGAAGAUAUUGCUUGUUAUUGCCAUGUUCCAUCUAUGACCCAUUCCUAUGAUGAUACUAUGAUCUUGCUUUUGUGUUCGUGCUUGUGAUAUGUCAUGUUUAUUGCGUAUGCCUAUUAUUUGCCAACAUGACAUGAUUGCCAUGAUUUUCUCUUGCAUGUUGCAUCUUCGCACUACUAGCUUGCACGACUUGAUUACUAUGCUUGCUUAUGUUGCAUCACCAAUGCAUACUUGCUCACUUCAUGCAGUUGGUGACAACCAUUUACAUGCUUUGCACAUGAUUGUUAUUGCAUCUUGUCAUAUAUCUCCAUGUGUUGCCACUCUCAUGUUAGACGAUUUGCCAUGUAUUGAGUGCAACAAUGCUUCUACUCUUGCUCAUGAGAUUGCCCCCAUAGCAUUCUCACAUAUAUUUGGAGAUUUUGACAUUUCUCUUGUGAAGCAUGCUUGUCUUACCUCUUUGCACCAUAUACCUAGUGCCAUAUUGCCGUUGUUGCACAUAUUAUUCAUGCAUUUGUGCUUCUAAUGGUUAUGUGCAAGAGAAGAGAACCAUCAUGAUGGAUGAUGUGUUUAUCUAUCAUGCGCAUACGUUCUUUCUUUUGUUGUGUGCAUGUGUAGGAUACUUGGACUUCGUGUCAACUUCCACUUCACAUGAGUUGACCAUCCGAGCUCUUGAGAGCGAACCACCUUCUACCACGACGGUCCUACAACGCACUUGCUUGUACUUCGGCAUUGUGAAGGACGCACAAAGACACGCCUACAAGGUGACAUCUUUCUUGAGCAUGGAUAUGACGGAUCAUACCACUUGUGUUGCUUGCACCAUGAGACUUGUUGUUCAUCUUGGACCACUUGAUUGCACACAUGUUAGAGAUCUUGCUUCGACUUGUCAUUUUCACCGUUCCAUGCGUCAUGAUAUAUAUGCCUUGUGUGUUGCAUCCAAUUCUUGGAUUACUUGCUCCUCUCAUAUGUUUGGUUGCAACAAUGUCAUCACUUCACAUAUGCCAUGCCCCAUUGAUUGCUACAUGCUUGCCUUGAUUGCCUCACACAUGAUGAACAAUUUCUCUUUCCAUUGUGUUGAGUGCCACACGAUAUUCACUACACCCCAUGCACAUUAUGCUUGGAUUGUCUUGCACUUGACCCAUGCGUUUAGACACUUCAUUUUAUUUGGUGUUGUGAAUGAUUUUUAUGCCUACCAUAGACCUUUCAUUGAGCGCUUUGCCAAUUCUUGCUAUGACUUUGAGGUAGAUGCUUAUUCUUUUGUUACACAUAUUUGCAUCACUACCUCACAUUUACAUGCUUGUCCCCAUGAUAUCUUUGCUUGUGCUCGAUUGAUAUGCUUACAUGCCAUGUCAUAAUCCCUUGUCACACCAUAUGCUUUGCAUGAUGAUGACACUUGUUUGGUCACUCACAUCUUGAAUGCUUGGUUUUGCACUAACGCUAACCACAUUUGUUUUUCCAAGUGUUUGUUGUCCUUACUCCUUUUGAAGGAACCACAAGAUGGUGCGACAUUAGAGAGUGCCCAUUUCGAGCUUCAAGAUGACAAGUACUUGGUGAACGUCCACUUCUACACGGCGAAGCCAUCUCUUUCCCAUGGUGAUUUGGUUUUCGAUCCGAGGUCGGAUCUUUCCCAAGGGAGGGGAGAUGAUGCGGAGCAUCCUAUGGACAUCACCAUGUCAAGAGUUCGUUUGGCGGGUGACUCGUGCGACAUCUACUUCACAUACACAAAGGUGAAUCAUGUCCUAUAUGCGUGCUCACUUGACCCCUUCGAGGAUGGUAUACUACUUGACACUCCACUCGUGUGCAUGCAUAGGUAUUGUCGGAACACUACGGACGAUGACGAGGAGUGCAAGCGCCAAGGAACAACUACACCAUCCGUGAGGGAAGCCUGGAAGCGACGACGGAAGAAGACGGAGCUGCUGAAGCUAUAGCGGCCGGACAUCCGAGCCAGAGGCCGGACAUCCGGCGCAUGUGCAGCCGCCCAACUGCUGCACCAACAGUCGGCCGAACAAGCCUCAGCGGCCGGACAUCCGGCACCAACCCCAGACAUCCGGCGCCUCCCGACAGCCCGGACAUCCGGCAUCUCCCCCGAAAAUCCGGCAUCGACGUAUCCAGAGAGCAGCUGAACCUCCACUUCAGCCCGGACAUCCGGCCGCGACCCCGGACAUCCGGCUCAUCCCGAAGCCCCGGACAUCCGGCCCCCAGCCCGGACGUCCGGCACCUGCGUGUGCCUAACCGGGCCAAAGGCCCAUGUAUCCCCUCCUCACUUACCCCUUCGUGGCACUAGACUAUAUAUACUCCUCCACCUCCUUCUAGUUAGGGUUAGCGUUGUGAUAGCUCAUUUGAGAGAUAGAGUUUUGCUCAUCCAUAUCGGAUCUACUCCACGAGAGAGACCGCAACCCCUCUACGGAGAAGAUCCACCUUGGAUUCAAGACCCCUCACGGGAAGAUCCCCUUGUGGAUUCAAGACCUCCUCACGGAGAAGAACCGGUUACCUCUUGUAUCGUCCGUUGUUGACUUUGGAUCUUGUAUCUCUCUUUGUGUUUCGAGGAUCUAGCACAUGUGUGAUCAUACUUGUUGGUUUGAGUGUUCUCUUGUGUUCCCCUCGUGAUUUUCCCCUCCUUUCCCUCCUCAUGUUCUUCGCGUUCUUCGCGGGAUCCGCUCCUUCCGUGAAAGAUCGGGCCACUAGGGUUCUACCCUACAUCAAAUUCUACCAAAAACAAUAAAAGAAAAAUUAGGAAGCAUAAAGUAUGGACUUUAUUUCUCUUCAAAUUAAGCCGUCAAACUAAUACCAAAUAGUUUCAUAACUAUCAAACAUGCCUAAAACAUCAUUUCUAUUGAAUCCACAUGACAAGUAUUUAUGGUAAGGGACACCAUCAUGACGCGCAAGGCUAAUGUAAGCGGGAUCCAAGUGGCAGCGUCGAGGCCAGUUGCACCAAAUGUCACAGAGGCCCGCUAAACCCAUGUGUAUUUUGAAAAAAAAUCUAUGUAUUAUCAGAUUUAGUUGUGGCCAACACGUACACUGCUCUAAACCCCAGUUUCAGAAUCAUUUUUUUUUCAAACCAUGUAGUAGGAUUGCAUAUAUAUUACAACGAGGAGUAUUUACAAGAUAAUGAUCGAUCAAACAACCUAAGCUCACACCAGCGUGAACACAGAGUCAAAGCCCUUGCUCCCUGGAGACAUAAAAGCGUUCAUAGUGUUCACGCACCCUGCAUCCUUGACCUAGCAUCCUGCCAGAGAAAAUCAGUAGGAGUGACCUAGUUUCAGAAUCAUUCUAAAAAUUAAAAAAAAAUGCUGUCAAUAGCGCAGAAAACAAAAUUCUUGAGUGCUUACCAAGGGUUCUCUUAUGUAAACCUGGAAGAGAGACAAAAAUCAAAGACAUCACAACAUAAAACUUCUAAUAUCCCAUGAAAAUGGUUGAUCCAUAGUUCUUCCAUUUUUUCUGGAGUAAACAUGACAGCAAUGGCACACAACAGCAAGGAACAAAUUGAGUGUUCAGAGCAAGCACAAAAUUUGGAGAGUCAUAUUCCAUAAAAGUUGUUAAAAGGUAUAAGUGUAGGAGAUGUGAAAUUCUAGAUAAAUUCCAUCUAAGAAAGCUAAACUGCUAUUUGGAAGCUACUGGGCAACAAAUGUUUCUAAAAAUUGAUGAAGCAAUCACACACACGUGUACUAUUAUUAGCAAAAUGAAACAUGUUACAACAAACCAAGCACUACAGAUAAGUCCUCAGCUUGAUCAACCAACAAUUGCAUAAAGAAAACAUAAAAGGAUGACAGCUAAAGAAAAUAGAAGAAUAUAAGCUUAAGUGGCGAACAAAUAGCUUUUGCACUCACUGUAUAUAGCUAAUUAGCUAUACUAUUAUGUACUAAAAUAAAGAAUAGUCUGCUUGCCUGAAAGCUAUUUUUUAUAUCCAUCUGAUCAAAUUGAUUUAGGAUUUAACUCCACAACAACCGAAAUUGUAAGUGUGCGCACAUUUCAUCAGGUAUCCUAAUAGGCAGUAGGUUUUACAAGCAUCAUAAGAAACCAGAGAAUGAACUUGCAUGCCUCACCUAUCAUCUGGAGAUUAAUAGAAGGCCAAACAGACGCUACCAAGCAUUUUUAGAAUUGGAUCCCAAACAAAUGGGAAAUGAUGCCUAGAAUGAAAAGGCUGCACAAGGCACACAAGAAAAAUCUAAAGCAGGGUACUCCAAAAAAUGGAAUAUUAUCAAGCCUACUACAAAGCAGGAUGCUCAACAACUCAUGUCUUUUGAGGAACAUUUUUGCACAUCAAAAAUUCAGAUGCAUAAAAAUAGAGCCAAUAAAUCUGGAUACUGUAAUCUGAAUCACCCAAAAUUAGCUGAGCUAUUCAUACCCGAAAGUAAGCAAAGAAAGGUACAUUUUUGUAGUUUGACUUAUAGUUGCACAAGCACCCUUGCAUGCGCUACGAUGUCAUCAUGACCAAAUCUACGAAACUGAAAAGACAUUGUUGUGUACUAAUUUUGGCUCCUCAGAAGCUAGUACAAAAGAAGAGGAUCCAACUGGAUAUUGUUCUUAUCUUCCUACAGAAAAGAAAAGGUAAAAAACUGAUUCAGAGCUGAUUGCAGGUAGGUAAAUCAUCUAUUCACCUUGAUUAACCCAUGAGUUAUAUAUACUUAUUCCUCGAUUUUAUCCUGUCUAGUAGGUUUGCAGUAGACGUUGGUAUAGGUUACUCAAUCUGAGAGCCAGAGAUGUGACGAGGGGAACAGUGGCAAUGGAGUAGAUCAAACGACUGGGCCACUCAAAUGUGAUUUUCAUCAGUUAGUCAUCACGGAGCUCGCAUACUUCUUCCCUCGACUUUGUUCUGUCGAGUAGGUUCUGUAUUAAAGAUGGAAUGAGAAGGGGAGCUGUUAUAUCCUCAAUGUGCAAAUUCAGGCUAAACAGUCAGGAGAUGUGCAAUUCUCUAGAGAUGGAAAGCAACAAACUGAAUGUCCCAGCAAAACAACAAACUGUACUACAAGAGUUUGAAGAAUUUCUUGGCUGCACCAUUACUAAUGAAGUUAACAUCCACCCGCCAAAUGAUAUUCGAUCUAGGGGUAGGAUAAAGAGAAUCAAGGGGCAUAAUGAGAAAGGACGAAGAAUAGGUAACAACAAUAAGGCGAAGGUGUCGCAGUUGUGCGAGAUGCCGAGAUUCUAUCUGUUUGUUCAUGUUUAAGAAUCAGUUUUUUAUCUGUCUCACUUCAUGAACUGAUAAUUGGAUAUUCACUCUAACUGCAAUACUUUUUUGUUUGUGUGAAUGACUUAGUUAAUAUUCAUUCAUCAUUAUGUACAGUUUUGUUGCAACUGGAAUAAAUGUAUUUCUAACUGUCGGAAUGCUUAGACUUCCCUGUCUACAUAUGUAUCACCAAACAACAAGUUAGAUGCUUGCAGAAAACACACACAAAUCACCAGAUAUCUUGUAACACAGUAUAGAGUACCUUGCGGUUCUGGGCAAUACUGACCCUCUUCUUAAUAACCCCAAGCUGCUAAAAGAAACUUGCAAAAUAAUCCAAACCA
rnacentral:lncRNA from 1 species